GCCCCCGUGGCCUAGCGGUUAGCGCUCCCGUUUUGCAAGCUGUCAACGCGGGUUCGAUCCCUCAUGGGGUCA